CCUAGUUCCCAGGGAGGUUGCAGAGGGCCUGGGGCACAGCUAGGCCUCCCACCCUGUGGGAUGGGCCGGGCAGGACGGAGGGGAGGCUUGUGGGCCCCACCUCCACCGGCCAGGCAGCCCCUGGCGGGGUGUGGGGUCAAGGCUGGGCGGGAAGGUUAAACAAGCAGACGACAAGGGGGCUGGGGCUGCGCAGGGAGAGUUUGCAGCCAGCCCAGCUCCAGGCCAGUCAGUGGCCCCACUGGGGCCUGCUGGGGGAGGGGAGGUCAUCCACCAGAGCAGAAGGCCGCCUGGAGGCCUAGGGUUGGCCGCCUGCCCCAUGGCCCCCAGGAGUGAUAAGCGCAGAGCGGGGAGCACAGAGCGGCAGGAGCGCAGGGCCCACCCGGGCUGGCCUCGGUCACGUUCUGCAGUGUUGGGGGUUCAAAUUCAACACCGGACUGUCGGGGGAUACAGGUCACGGGCAGCCCAAGCUGUCUGAAGGUCCCCAGUGGUUUGGACCACUCUUGAGUGCAAAUCUCUGUUCCACUGUGGAAACCAGAACCUGCUUCCCCCUUGAGAUGCUCUUCCUAUUAGAACCAGACAUCCCUGCACCCCCAGCCUUCGAGCUUUUGUGACUGCAACUUGCAGGUCUUUAUCAAGGCAGGAAACAGCAGCAGCCAGCAAGGUGUGACUGUGAACACAGAGCCCGUGUCCUGCGAGGAAGACUGUUAUCACACUUCAAAAAGGUCCCAAGAUGUCCAUCUAAGGAGUGUUUUCUCGGGCAGGGCAUUAGUUUUGCAUACGCAGUUUCCCCUCGCUCCGCUCCGCUCCCCCGUUGCUUAUUACGUCCACUUCCAGAGGAGGAAGUGGUGCUCACUGAGUCUUACUGCUGGUCAGUGGCAGGGCCGGGACCCAGAUUCACACAUUCCCAUGAAAUGCAUUGAAAACAAAAACAAAAACAAAAACCAGAUGGAUGGAUAAAGGGAUGGAUAGAUGGGCAGAUGUGGUAAAGCAAGAAAAGCACCGUGCUAAUGGAAGAAUCUAGAUGGUGGGGAUUUGGGUGUUCUCCGACCAAUUUUUUCAACUUGUGCAUGUUUGGAAGUUUUCAAAAUAAAAUGUUUUUAAAAAUA